AGAGAAAACUGGGUUCUGUCUCACGACGGCCCGACCUACCCCACACACACCUGCGAACCGUUUAUAUGAUGGAGUCUCGGCUCCGUCGUGGAAGCCACAACGGCCCUCACCGGCUGGCGGGCUUCCAACCUUUACAAAACAUCUGUAACAAGUCUUGAACGUCUAUAGUUAUAUUUUAACAAAAAUA
rnacentral:misc_RNA from 1 species